rnacentral:rRNA from 1 species
AGAAUCAACGCUGGCGGCGUGCCUAACACAUGCAAGUCGAACGAGAAAGUGGAGCAAUCCAUGAGUAAAGUGGCGACCGGGUGAGUAACACGUGACUAACCUACCUUCGAGUGGGGGAUAACAUCGGGAAACCGAUGCUAAUACCGCAUAACAUCGCAAGAUCAAAGCAGCAAUGCGCUUGAAGAGGGGGUCGCGGCUGAUUAGCUAGUUGGCGGGUAAUGGCCCACCAAGGCGAAGAUCGGUA